rnacentral:misc_RNA from 1 species
UCAAAACUAGUACCAAC